rnacentral:rRNA from 1 species
AUUGAACGCUGGCGGCAGGCCUAACACAUGCAAGUCGAACGAGUGGCGGACGGGUGAGUAAUUUCUGGGAAACUGCCCGAUGGAGGGGGAUAACUACUGGAAACGGUAGCUAAUACCGCAUACCAUCGGAUGUGCCCAGAUGUGAUUAGCUCGUAGGUGGGGUAACGGCUCACCUAGGCGACGAUCCCUAGCUGGUCUGAGAGGAUGACCAGCCACACUGUAACUGAGCCACGGGCCAGAAUCCUACGCGACGAAGCAGGGGGGAAUAUUGCACAAUCGGCGCAAGCCUGAUGCCGCCAGGCCGCGUGUAUGAAGAAGGCCUUCGGGUUGUAGAGUACUUUCGGCGAGGAGGCGUUACUCGCAGAAGAAGCACCGGCUAACUCCGUGCCAGCAGCCGCGGUAAUU